CUGGCCCACCGUCUCCCGCAGCAGAAAACGUGUCACAAACUGGUCCACCUUGGAGGCCUGCUCAUACUCCUGGGGGCAGAGAGGAAGUGGACAGCAUCUCUGAGCCCUGAGCAGGGCCCCAGGUCAGAGGGCAGGGCAGAGGCAGCAUGGGCUGUGGCCCCCAGUGGUAACCAGCCCUACCAUGGGAAACAACAGUUCCCACAAGAGGACCAAAGCACCCAAGCAGGCCCACAAGGAGAGGCCACCGGACAUGGACAAGGGCCAGCGGAAACAGUUCUCCAGCCACCUCCAGCGGAAGAAGCCAAGUACCGCAGGCUCAAAACAUACCACUUUCCCCCUCUUCACCUGGGGAGAGGCCCUUGACCAGGCUGAGGUGGGUGAGAGCCCCAGGCAUCAAGGCUGGAGGGGAGGCAGGGAACCCAGCAGUAGGUCGGUCU